AAGUUCCCAGAAAUUUUUGGUAGUAGAUGACCGCUGGGGAGUUUUGUCACCAAGAUUUCAUAAGAUUUUUGGUCUGUGUUUCUUUGUCAAUUUGGGCGUGUUCCUUUACAUGUAUGGAGAUAUGCUAUUUUUGACAUCAACGUUGGUAAAUUUAGCGUUAUCUGUGAUAUUUCUUUAAUCUGUGAGCGUUUUGUGAGCGAUGUAAAAAAAUGUUGAAAUGGAACACUCUCAGUUUGACAUGAGCCGUCAAAUGUCGGAUUUUUGAAGUUUUUAUUUUUUAUAGAAGAAAUAUUCUUCAAGUUAUGUUGUGCUCUUAUGUUUAUCUUACAAUACAUUAACCAAUUGACCUAAUGAAUAAAAAAAAUAAGUAGGUUAUCGCUUUAAUUACGGAAAUAUGACAUACUUUAGCUCUCAGUUUGAUAUGAGCCGUCACACGUCCGAUUUUUAAAGUUUUUAUUUUUUAUAGAAGAAACAUUCUACAAGAUGUUGAAAGAGGCGACUAAAGGACAAAUCAUUAUGCAUCAGGCCUCCCCAACGAGACUGACCAGCGUGGGAAUUGCGACCGGUUUUGAGUUAUCGAGACAGGUCGGGCGCCAUCCCGUCCGGUAUGUCAUCAUGCGACGAGGAAAUUUCAAAUGGAGCCGGCGGAAAAAGUGGUGCUAGGUUUCCGUUCAUCCAUAUUUAGAUAUUUGAGAUAGUAGGUUUAUUUUACUACUUCUCGAAUAGUUUUGUUUGUGAGAGUAUGUUUACAUUAGAAUAUUGAAGGUAACUAACUGUCUUUGACACUACAAGUACUGUAAAUAAAUAAAUAUUAUCCUUA